rnacentral:rRNA from 1 species
AGUGAACGCUGGCGGCAGGCCUAAUACAUGCAAGUCGAACGGCAGCACAGCAGAGCUUGCUCUGUGGGUGGCGAGUGGCGGACGGGUGAGGAAUACAUGGGAAUCUGCCCAGUCGUGGGGGAUAACGUAUGGAAACGUACGCUAAUACCGCAUGCGCCCUUUGGGGGAAAGCCGGGGACCUUCGGGCCUGGCGCGAUUGGAUGAGCCCAUGUUCGAUUAGCUAGUUGGCGGGGUAAAGGCCCACCAAGGCGACGAUCGGUAGCUGGUCUGAGAGGAUGAUCAGCCACACUGGGACUGAGACACGGCCCAGACUCCUACGGGAGGCAGCAGUAGGGAAUAUUGGACAAUGGGCGCAAGCCUGAUCCAGCCAUGCCGCGUGAGUGAAGAAGGCCCUCGGGUUGUAAAGCUCUUUUGUCCGGAAAGAAAAGCAUUCGGUUAAUACCCGGGUGUUCUGACGGUACCGGAAGAAUAAGCACCGGCUAACUUCGUG